rnacentral:lncRNA from 1 species
GUCUGGCGUGACCGUCUGUGUUGCGCCGGCUUGCUGUGAAGUACACGUGUGUCGAUUUCUUGAACUCUACCGAGCCUUUCUCUGCGGUUAAGGUGAAAUAAGACUGACGAGGCUAUACCUGAAGUCUGUACCCAGCUACUACGUACUCGUCAGAUGUGUUGAGACCUUAUGAGGAGAAGAAUACAGCGUCACAAUAAGGGCAUGGCGUCAGCAGUUUGAACCGGAUUUAGUUCAGAAUGGCAUAUUGGGCGCGAAAUCUGCUGAAAAUAGUGUUUCUGAUGAUUGGGAUCCUGAGAGGAGCGCAACAUGGAGAGACAGGAAGAAGAGACGCGAUUCUUUAUAUAAUACUUGGGAAAUAAAGCUGUAUAAUGAGGAGCGAGUGUUGGGGAGGAAUUUGUGUUGAAAAGAAGGGUGCAUUGUAUGUGUUAGGUACAUCUUUAACACUGACUUCUUUUUAAUCAAGGGUAAAACGGAAUAAAGGUGGCGAGUUAAUCAAUAUGUACUUAGGAGAAAGUAAAAGAGCAUGCGUAUAUGUAUUGAUAUUGUAUUGUGUGUAAAGGAAUAAAAAGGAGCGAUGUAUAUUUAUUUGACAAAGAGUGAGCCGUAAUCUACAAUAUUUACAUAGAUAACGUUUUGGAAGAAUCAUUU